GUUCGUAUGGUCAAGUGGUUACGACGUCGCAUUGUGGUCCGGCGCUUCUCAGCGUCACUGAUCCUGCGGAAUCCCGUGUUCGAUUCACGGUACGGACA